GGUAGUAAUUGUUUUUUCUGCAGUUCUAAUUAUCCUCUGAAGUCUGUGUCUGUCUUGUUGGGUUGCAGAACCAAACCAGACAGUUAUAGAGGUGCAGAUGACAGAGUCAAUAAUUCCUCUGUAGAACUGUAUCAGCAGCUCUUUGGGCAGUUUGAGCUUUCUGAGUUGGAGCUAUCAAGCACUCUGUGAACAAGCACCUAUGAAUGGAAGCAGCAGCUCUGGAGGAAUUUCCAAGGUUAAAGUGUCUUUUUGUCAAACAAGCCAAUUUGAAAUGACAAGCAAGAUUAACAGAAGGCAAACUUCAGAGGCACACUUUUCAGGAAGAGAUGCACAAAUCUGCCUUGUCUUCACAAGCUCCAUUGGAAUAGUGCCUACAAUUGACUUUUAGCAUGGUGAUACUUUCAUGGAACCAUUUUAGACAAAGGCAUGGGAAAAGAGUAACAUCAGAACUAUAUAGUGGCAUGUUAGAAAAUUAUAAAAGCUUUCUUUUAAUUGCAGAUAAUAAACAGAUGCAUCAUGA